GGGACGGGUCGGACACAAUCAACUCCAUCAAUAGAAACUGAGAAACAAUCAACUUUUUCAAAAUCAAUGAAGCUUUUUAAAAAGAAUAAGUGCAAAUAUGAAAAGGAAAAUAGCCGAGCACUUAAAGGGACACAUUUCUACGAAACCUGUAGGAACGGAGUAUGGAUCAAACGGAGUUGCCCACGUAGGAACUCAAUAUUUUGGACAUUAUUAAACUGCUGUGUCAACCUGACACAAUUCCCCUGUUCAAGAAACUGUUUGACUUAAGGGGGGUAAUAAAUAAAAAGAGGAAGACAAAAGAUUUAUUAAUAUAUCUAUUGCAGUUUUAAG
rnacentral:lncRNA from 1 species